UACGUAGGGUGCAAGCGUUAAUCGGAAUUACUGGGCGUAAAGCGUGCGCAGGCGGCUUUGCAAGACAGAUGUGAAAUCCCCGGGCUUAACCUGGGAACUGCAUUUGUGACUGCAUGGCUCGAGUGCGGCAGAGGGGGAUGGAAUUCCGCGUGUAGCAGUGAAAUGCGUGAGAUAUGCGGAGGAACACCGAUGGCGAAGGCAAUCCCCUGGGCCUGCACUGACGCUCAUGCACGAAAGCGUGGGGAGCAAACAGG
rnacentral:rRNA from 1 species